GGGGUUCCCAACCAGGAACAGUUAAUUCUGUCACAUAUCCUUUUGAAGAAGAACUGAACACCAAGCAGCUUAUGGUGACUCAGACGGACAAUCUGUGGCACAGUACAGGUCCAGAAGAGGAAUCCAGUGCUCUCUGACUAUGCUGAAUCUCAAUAUCAAGAUGAACUUUCAUCACUACAGAGUUUACCAUUGUUGUGUACUCUGAGUGGAUGUGGAGCAAGCAAUCAGAAUGAGCUACCAUAUAUCAGUUACAAAAAUCGCUCUGAAAGAGACCUGAUGACAGUGGGGCGUCUUGCUGAGAAAAAAUUACUUUAAACCUAAAAUCAUUCAACUCUUUGCCAGUCGUUGCCUUAAGAAAACA